rfam:Basidiobolus meristosporus CBS 931.73 K493scaffold_1106, whole genome shotgun sequence.
UUCUUUACAACGCAUUUAUUCACAAUUUAUUUAAAAGCACCUAUGUACAUGAUGGUUCCGCGUAGGAACAUGUCGAUGAUGCACUAGGCCGUAUAUAAAUUGGAGAUUGACUAUUGUCAAGUCAUGGGUUGGGUGCGGUUUGCUCUAAGAUAGAUCUUCGUAUCUUCUAAUGGGGUGAAGCGCAAUAACUCGUGACAUAU